AACGAACGCUGGCGGCAUGCCUAACACAUGCAAGUCGAACGAGACCUUCGGGUCUAGUGGCGCACGGGUGCGUAACGCGUGGGAACCUGCCCUUAGGUUUGGAAUAACUCCCCGAAAGGGGUGCUAAUACCGGAUAAUGUCUUCGGACCAAAGAUUUAUCGCCUUUGGAUGGGCCCGCGUUGGAUUAGCUAGUUGGUAGGGUAAAAGCCUACCAAGGCGACGAUCCAUAGCUGGUCUGAGAGGAUGAUCAGCCACACUGGGACUGAGACACGGCCCAGACUCCUACGGGAGGCAGCAGUGGUGAAUAUUGGACAAUGAACGAAAGCCUGAUCCAUCAAUGCCGCGUGAGUAAUCAAGUCCUUAGGGUUGUAAAGCUCUUUUACCCGGGAUGAUAAUGACAGUACCGGAAGAAUAAGCUCCGGCUAACUCCGUG
rnacentral:rRNA from 1 species